GAACGAUGAUGCCCACUUGUGGGUGGACCAGUGGCGAACGGGUGAGUAACACGUGAGUAACCUGCCCUUGACUCUGGGAUAAGCCUGGGAAACUGGGUCUAAUACCGGAUAUGACUGACUAUCGCAUGGUGGUUGGUGGAAAGCUUUUGCGGUUUUGGAUGGACUCGCGGCCUAUCAGCUUGUUGGUGGGGUAAUGGCCUACCAAGGCGACGACGGGUAGCCGGCCUGAGAGGGUGACCGGCCACACUGGGACUGAGACACGGCCCAGACUCCUACGGGAGGCAGCAGUGGGGAAUAUUGCACAAUGGGCGGAAGCCUGAUGCAGCGACGCCGCGUGAGGGAUGACGGCCUUCGGGUUGUAAACCUCUUUCAGUAGGGAAGAAGCGUAAGUGACGGUACCUGCAGAAGAAGCGCCGGCUAACUACGUGCCAGCAGCCGCGGUAAUACGUAGGGCGCAAGCGUUAUCCGGAAUUAUUGGGCGUAAAGAGCUCGUAGGCGGUUUGUCGCGUCUGCCGUGAAAGUCCGGGGCUCAACUCCGGAUCUGCGGUGGGUACGGGCAGACUAGAGUGAUGUAGGGGAGACUGGAAUUCCUGGUGUAGCGGUGAAAUGCGCAGAUAUCAGGAGGAACACCGAUGGCGAAGGCAGGUCUCUGGGCAUUAACUGACGCUGAGGACGAAAGCAUGGGGAGCGAACAGGAUUAGAUACCCUGGUAGUCCAUGCCGUAAACGUUGGGCACUAGGUGUGGGGGACAUUCCACGUUUUCCGCGCCGUAGCUAACGCAUUAAGUGCCCCGCCUGGGGAGUACGGCCGCAAGGCUAAAACUCAAAGGAAUUGACGGGGGCCCGCACAAGCGGCGGAGCAUGCGGAUUAAUUCGAUGCAACGCGAAGAACCUUACCAAGGCUUGACAUGAACCGGAAACGCCUGGAAACAGGUGCCCCACUUGUGGUCGGUUUACAGGUGGUGCAUGGUUGUCGUCAGCUCGUGUCGUGAGAUGUUGGGUUAAGUCCCGCAACGAGCGCAACCCUCGUUCUAUGUUGCCAGCACGUGAUGGUGGGGACUCAUAGGAGACUGCCGGGGUCAACUCGGAGGAAGGUGGGGACGACGUCAAAUCAUCAUGCCCCUUAUGUCUUGGGCUUCACGCAUGCUACAAUGGCCGGUACAAAGGGUUGCGAUACUGUGAGGUGGAGCUAAUCCCAAAAAGCCGGUCUCAGUUCGGAUUGGGGUCUGCAACUCGACCCAUGAAGUCGGAGUCGCUAGUAAUCGCAGA
rnacentral:rRNA from 1 species